rnacentral:rRNA from 1 species
CUGGGAUGGGCUGGUACGCAGCCUGAUCCAGCCAUUCCGCGUGAGUGAAGAAGGCCUUCGGGUUGUAAAGCUCUUUCGGCAGGAACGAAACGGUGGGGGCUAAUAUCCCUUGCUAAUGACGGUACCUGAAGAAGAAGCACCGGCUAACUACGUGCCAGCAGCCGCGGUAAUAA